AAUAGCAAUUAUAUGCUCACAAAAACAUUUCAUAAAUCAUAAAGAGCUAUUAUUAGCAUGGCGUUGCUUAGGUUUGCUUUCGUUCUAACCUUUCUUCUCAUAACAACCACUAUUGACGUGCCAUGGCUCUCAAAGACACAAGUACUGGCUACACGGGAUAUUGAUCGUGAUCUCAGAGGACUUGAGAAGAGCCUACUCUCAACACUUAAUGUUAUGACUUGUGGGAGGGAUUGUGUUUACAAUGAUUGUAAAGAUGAUUGUUGGAUUUGCUGUAGAUGUGUUAGAUCUAAUUGUGUGUUAUAAUGCAAAUUAUUGGUAGAUUGGCACAUUAGUGUCCAAUUGCAACCAACCCUACAACCCCAUAUUAUGUAUUUACCUUUUCUCGUGUGAUUUGUGUGUUUUCCUCAUCUUUUCUUGCUUUGUACGAAAAUAAUAAUAAAACUUUCUAGUUUUAUUUGUAAUCA